CUAAGUUUCUAUUCUUGUGCUAAUUGGCUGGUGAAAAUUAAGGGAAUAAUUUUGCUAAUGUAAUGGGUUUGAAGCAGAUUGCUUUGUGCCCAGUGUGCACUAUUGAUAAGAAAUGUAACGCUUGUAUUUCUUUGUAUUCUUCAGAAUUGAUUAAAAUCCUUGUGUAAUCCUUAAUUUUGUUCUUCUGUGGAUCAAGAUUUUC
rnacentral:misc_RNA from 1 species